AAAGGCGUUGGGUAAAUUG
rnacentral:siRNA from 1 species